GUUAAAAUGACUACAAUGGUUCUAUCCAAUCAUUUAUUUGCUCUCAAAAGUCACAUAGAAAAGAAAAAGAAAACUACAGUAUACAAUAAUAAAACUACUAGUGAGAAAUACCAAACAUCCUUGAUCCUCUGCUAAAUAACAUCAAGUUUGGCAAUUCAAGUUAGCAGUAGUCUAGUUUGGUGAUCCUAAGAACAAAGAAUCAAUAACCCCAAGAGAAAAUGAAACAAAGAAAAUCUCUACAAAUUAUCUUAGGACUAAAAGGUUGAAGUUUCAAACAUGACAACGAAUCAAUAAAAAAAUGCAUUGCAAGUAUCAACAGCUCCUUCCCACCAAGAUUUUGCGCAAUAAAAAAACUACAUUUUACCUAAAGACCUAGUGGCAAAUGAACUGAACAUCUUCCUUUAGUUUUUGUUGAAGAGCUACAAU
rnacentral:misc_RNA from 1 species